rnacentral:rRNA from 1 species
AUAGCUAGUUGCAUCAAUGUUUAAAUAAUUGAUGCGAUAUCGACUAUGUCGAAUAAAAUUCUAGGUAGAAUUAUGAUAAUGACAUUGUCUGCCUAUGUGUCUUGACCAAAUUACGUGCCAGCAGUCGCGGUAAUACGUAGAAGACUAGUGUUAUUCAUCUUUAAUAGGUUUAAAGGGUACCUAGACGGUAUAUCAAGCCUGCAAUACGGGACUAAUGUACUAGAGUUACUUACGAGGGGGUAUUAAAGUACUGCUGGUGUAGAGAUGAAAUUCUGUCAUACCUCAUUUCGUAAGAAAUACUACGGCACAGGUAUAGGCGAAAGCAUCCCCUUAUGUGAUAACUGACGUUGAAGGACGAAGGCUUUGUGUCGCGAACAGGAUUAGAUACCCCAAUAGUCAAAGCAGAAAAUGAUGAAUGUCAUAGAAUAGACAUAUAAUAGUUUAUUCUAUAAAUGAAAGUGUAAGCAUUCCACCUCAAGAGUAAUUUGGCAACAUUGGAACUGAAAUCAUUAGACCGUUUCUGAAACCAGUAGUGAAGUAUGUUGUUUAAUUUGAUAAUCCGCAAAAAACCUUACCACAAUUUGAAUAUUUAGAUUUAGAUUUUCAUUUUCUUUUUUUUUUGCGCUGUUUUGUUUAGAUUUUCUCCUUAUAGGGAAAUUAUGAAUAGAGCAGCAUUAAAAGUAAAAUUAACAAGAAGGGAAGAGAAAUCUAUUUACAAGCGUUGCACGGCUGUCUUCAGUUAAUGUCGUGAGAUUCUGGUUAGUUCCAUUAAUUAACGUAA